GACUCAAGUUAAAAAAAUAUGAUAUAUUGCAUUGCAAUAAAAAGCCAUUUUACCUCAAAUGCUUGGAAGAUGACUCGAGUGUCAUGGAUGGAUACAUAAUGCAUUUUGUGAGUGUGAAACUUGUUCCUUUUCAUUGCAGAUUUUGAAGGAUGAGUCCCCAAGAGAGAUGCACGAUAAUGCAUUCACACAAAAGGAGAAGAUUCAACAAGUGAAGUGCAAAAGAAAAACUGAUUUGGAAGGCUUCAGUGUGCUGACAUUUGGAAGAUCAUGAAUUCCUACCUUUACUUUUGAAUAUGCAACUGUUUAAGACCAUUUUUUUUUACUAUUGUGACAAUGUUUGGUUUAUGUUAAUAGGCAGUGUUGAAUAUCUUAAGACUUUUGGAUUGUUUUUUAGACAAUCUUGAAUGUAUUUUGACACAAUUAUUUUGUUAUAUGUGUUAUGAACCAUAUAAUUGGUACUAAAAAAUAUAUUUGCACAA